rnacentral:rRNA from 1 species
ACUCCUACGGGAGGCAGCAGUAGGGAAUCUUCCACAAUGGGCGCAAGCCUGAUGGAGCAACACCGCGUGAGUGAAGAAGGGUUUCGGCUCGUAAAGCUCUGUUGUUAAAGAAGAACACGUAUGAGAGUAACUGUUCAUACGUUGACGGUAUUUAACCAGAAAGUCACGGCUAACUACGUGCCAGCAGCCGCGGUAAUACGUAGGUGGCAAGCGUUAUCCGGAUUUAUUGGGCGUAAAGAGAGUGCAGGCGGUUUUCUAGGUCUGAUGUGAAAGCCUUCGGCUUAACCGGAGAAGUGCAUCGGAAACUGGAUAACUUGAGUGCAGAAGAGGGUAGUGGAACUCCAUGUGUAGCGGUGGAAUGCGUAGAUAUAUGGAAGAACACCAGUGGCGAAGGCGGCUACCUGGUCUGCAACUGACGCUGAGACUCGAAAGCAUGGGUAGCGAACAGGAUUAGAUACCCUGGUAGGAUAGCG